UACAGGGGGGGCAAGCGUUGUUCGGAAUUACUGGGCGUAAAGGGCUCGUAGGCGGCCAACUAAGUCACACGUGAAAUCCCCAGGCUUAACCUGGGAACUGCGUGUGAUACUGGAUGGCUUGAAUUCGGGAGAGGGAUGCAGAAUUCCAGGUGUAGCGGUGAAAUGCGUAGAUAUGCGGAGGAACACCGAUGGCGAAGGCAAUCCCCUGGGCCUGCACUGACGCUCAUGCACGAAAGCGUGGGGAGCAAACAGG
rnacentral:rRNA from 1 species